GUGUCCGCCAGUUCAGGCAGGUUCCUGCUGCGAGGGGGACUGAAAAUCCCCGUGUCGGCAGUUCGAUUCUGUCCCUGGCCA
rnacentral:tRNA from 1 species